rnacentral:misc_RNA from 1 species
UACGGAGGGUGCAAGCGUUGUCCGGAUUGAUUGGGUUUAAAGGGUGCGUAGGCGGCCUUUUAAGUCAGGGGUGAAAGCCCGGGGCUCAACCCCGGAACCGCCGUUGAUACUGGAAGGCUUGAGUACAGACGAGGUAGGCGGAAUUGAGGAUGUAGCGGUGAAAUGCUUAGAUAUCCUCAAGAACACCGAUUGCGUAGGCAGCUUACUAGGCUGUAACUGACGCUGAGGCACGAAAGCGUGGGGAGCGAACAGG